CAGAGAUGGCAACUCUGAGAGCGAAAAAAUAAUAGAGAGAUUGAGAGACAGAAGCACUGAGAGCGUAGUAGAGGUCCAUAGCAAGAUUUGGAUCGGUUUGUUUCGUUUUGUUUUGUAUCCAGAGAGAUUGGCGCAGAGGCUUCGCUGCAGAGAUAGAGAGAUAUUCGUAUAGAAUCUUCACAUAAUUGGUGGUUUAAGGUUCUAUGCAAAGGAGUAUCUACAUUGUUCUUUUGCCACUGUUCCUGAUUACGUUGUUUGGUGUUAGUUCAGUUCCCUGUUUUCAUUCAGAUAUCCGGAACAGUGUGUUAGCAAAAUCUGCAAGUAUUUCAAAUUCAG